GCGUAGGAUAUUUGAGAGGAGCUGUCCUUAGUACGAGAGGACCGGGAUGGACGGGCCGCUGGUGUACCUGUUGCAGUGCCAACUGCAUGGCAGGGUAGCCAAGCCUGGAAGGGAUAAACGCUGAAAGCAUCUAAGCGUGAAGCCCCCCUCAAGAUGAGAUAUCCCUACUUCGGAAGUAAGACCCCUUGAAGACGACGAGGU
rnacentral:ncRNA from 1 species